rnacentral:rRNA from 1 species
UACGAAGGGGGGCUAGCGUUGUUCGGAUUUACUGGGCGUAAAGCGCACGUAGGCGGAUCUUUAAGUCAGGGGUGAAAUCCCAGAGCUCAACUCUGGAACUGCCUUUGAUACUGGGGAUCUCGAGUUCGGGAGAGGUGAGUGGAACUGCGAGUGUAGAGGUGAAAUUCGUAGAUAUUCGCAAGAACACCAGUGGCGAAGGCGGCUCACUGGCCCGAUACUGACGCUGAGGUGCGAAAGCGUGGGGAGCAAACAGG